rnacentral:rRNA from 1 species
CACUACAGUUACUUCAUUGGAUGAAAGAUCUUGUCUGAGCUCAGAAGCUAAGCAGGGUUGGGUGUGGUUAGUACUUGGAUGGGAGACCACCUGGGAAUGUCAGGUCCUGUGGCAG